rnacentral:snRNA from 1 species
GGGAGAACCAGCUAGCUCUGGGUU